AAAUUGAAGAGUUUGAUCAUGGCUCAGAUUGAACGCUGGCGGCAGGCCUAACACAUGCAAGUCGAACGGUAACAGGAAGCAGCUUGCUGCUUUGCUGACGAGUGGCGGACGGGUGAGUAAUGUCUGGGAAACUGCCUGAUGGAGGGGGAUAACUACUGGAAACGGUGGCUAAUACCGCAUAAUGUCGCAAGACCAAAGAGGGGGACCUUCGGGCCUCUUGCCAUCAGAUGUGCCCAGAUGGGAUUAGCUUGUUGGUGAGGUAACGGCUCACCAAGGCGACGAUCCCUAGCUGGUCUGAGAGGAUGACCAGCCACACUGGAACUGAGACACGGUCCAGACUCCUACGGGAGGCAGCAGUGGGGAAUAUUGCACAAUGGGCGCAAGCCUGAUGCAGCCAUGCCGCGUGUAUGAAGAAGGCCUUCGGGUUGUAAAGUACUUUCAGCGGGGAGGAAGGUGUUGUGGUUAAUAACCGCAGCAAUUGACGUUACCCGCAGAAGAAGCACCGGCUAACUCCGUGCCAGCAGCCGCGGUAAUACGGAGGGUGCAAGCGUUAAUCGGAAUUACUGGGCGUAAAGCGCACGCAGGCGGUCUGUCAAGUCGGAUGUGAAAUCCCCGGGCUCAACCUGGGAACUGCAUUCGAAACUGGCAGGCUUGAGUCUUGUAGAGGGGGGUAGAAUUCCAGGUGUAGCGGUGAAAUGCGUAGAGAUCUGGAGGAAUACCGGUGGCGAAGGCGGCCCCCUGGACAAAGACUGACGCUCAGGUGCGAAAGCGUGGGGAGCAAACAGGAUUAGAUACCCUGGUAGUCCACGCCGUAAACGAUGUCUACUUGGAGGUUGUGCCCUUGAGGCGUGGCUUCCGGAGCUAACGCGUUAAGUAGACCGCCUGGGGAGUACGGCCGCAAGGUUAAAACUCAAAUGAAUUGACGGGGGCCCGCACAAGCGGUGGAGCAUGUGGUUUAAUUCGAUGCAACGCGAAGAACCUUACCUGGUCUUGACAUCCACAGAACUUUCCAGAGAUGGAUUGGUGCCUUCGGGAACUGUGAGACAGGUGCUGCAUGGCUGUCGUCAGCUCGUGUUGUGAAAUGUUGGGUUAAGUCCCGCAACGAGCGCAACCCUUAUCCUUUGUUGCCAGCGGUCCGGCCGGGAACUCAAAGGAGACUGCCAGUGAUAAACUGGAGGAAGGUGGGGAUGACGUCAAGUCAUCAUGGCCCUUACGACCAGGGCUACACACGUGCUACAAUGGCGCAUACAAAGAGAAGCGACCUCGCGAGAGCAAGCGGACCUCAUAAAGUGCGUCGUAGUCCGGAUUGGAGUCUGCAACUCGACUCCAUGAAGUCGGAAUCGCUAGUAAUCGUGGAUCAGAAUGCCACGGUGAAUACGUUCCCGGGCCUUGUACACACCGCCCGUCACACCAUGGGAGUGGGUUGCAAAAGAAGUAGGUAGCUUAACCUUCGGGAGGGCGCUUACCACUUUGUGAUUCAUGACUGGGGUGAAGUCGUAACAAGGUAACCGUAGGGGAACCUGCGGUUGGA
rnacentral:rRNA from 1 species